GACGAACGCUGGCGGCGCGCCUAACACAUGCAAGUCGAACGGAAAGAUUUUUCUACUCCGAGUUCUUUGCGGGUCUUUAAGGAGAGCGUCGAUCAAUGCGAAGCAUCGAAGAUGCGAGCAUUGAUCCAGGCUUUAUUUAGAAGACUAACACAAAGGUGGAGCAGAGAGCUGGGAGUAGGAAAAUCUUUUAGUGGCGAACGGGUGAGUAACGCGUGAGGAACCUGCCUCAAAGAGGGGGACAACAGUUGGAAACGACUGCUAAUACCGCAUAAGCCCACGGUCUCGCAUGGGACAGAGGGAAAAGGAGCAAUCCGCUUUGAGAUGGCCUCGCGUCCGAUUAGCUGGUUGGUGAGGUAACGGCCCACCAAGGCGACGAUCGGUAGCCGGACUGAGAGGUUGAACGGCCACAUUGGGACUGAGACACGGCCCAGACUCCUACGGGAGGCAGCAGUGGGGAAUAUUGCACAAUGGGGGAAACCCUGAUGCAGCGACGCCGCGUGGAGGAAGAAGGUCUUCGGAUUGUAAACUCCUGUUGUUGGGGAAAAAGAGGAUGGUACCCAACAAGGAAGUGACGGCUAACUACGUGCCAGCAGCCGCGGUAAAACGUAGGUCACGAGCGUUGUCCGGAAUUACUGGGUGUAAAGGGAGCGCAGGCGGGUAUGCAAGUUGGGAGUGAAAUACAUGGGCUCAACCCAUGAACUGCUCUCAAAACUGUGUAUCUUGAGUAGUGCAGAGGUAGGCGGAACUCCCGGUGUAGCGGUGGAAUGCGUAGAUAUCGGGAGGAACACCAGUGGCGAAGGCGGCCUACUGGGCACCAACUGACGCUGAGGCUCGAAAGUGUGGGUAGCAAACAGGAUUAGAUACCCUGGUAGUCCACACCGUAAACGAUGAUUACUAGGUGUUGGAGGAUAGACCCCUUCAGUGCCGCAGUUAACACAAUAAGUAAUCCACCUGGGGAGUACGACCGCAAGGUUGAAACUCAAAGGAAUUGACGGGGGCCCGCACAAGCAGUGGAGUAUGUGGUUUAAUUCGACGCAACGCGAAGAACCUUACCAAGUCUUGACAUCCUCUGACGAUGCUGGAAACAGUAUUUUCCUUCGGGACAGAGAGACAGGUGGUGCAUGGUUGUCGUCAGCUCGUGUCGUGAGAUGUUGGGUUAAGUCCCGCAACGAGCGCAACCCUUAUGGAUAGUUACUACGCAAGAGGACUCUAUUCAGACUGCCGUUGACAAAACGGAGGAAGGUGGGGAUGACGUCAAAUCAUCAUGCCCUUUAUGACUUGGGCUACACACGUACUACAAUGGCGUUCAACAAAGAGAAGCGAAAUCGCGAGAUGGAGCAAAACUCAAAAACAACGUCCCAGUUCAGAUUGCAGGCUGCAACUCGCCUGCAUGAAGUCGGAAUUGCUAGCAAUCGCAGAUCAGCAUGCUGCGGUGAAUACGUUCCCGGGCCUUGUACACAUCGCCCGUCACACCAUGGGAGUCAGUAACGCCCGAAGUCAGUGACCCAACCGUAAGGAGGGAGCUGCCGAAGGCGGGACCGAUAACUGGGGUGA
rnacentral:rRNA from 1 species